CUUCCCUCACCUCCCUCCUCCAUUCCCACUCCAUUUUUUGGGUGGUUUUUCUCUCUGAGGGGCGCAGGGAAGCGAGGGGGCACAGCAGCACCCCCUGUGCUCCCCCCCUGCCCAGGCAGCCGCUGCAAAAGAUCAAAGCACGGUAAAAAUAGCAAGAGGGGAGAGCUUGUGGGUUUGACAUCUGGAGGCCAGAAACAGCUCCUGCUUUGGAGGAGGCAAGAGCCACGUGGGAAUUGUCUGCGCUCCUUGGCUGGAUAAAACAGUUGUUGGGGCAGAUGGGACGAUAAAGUUUCGUGUGAAACUGGAGCUGCAGCAUUUCUGUGCCCGGAUGGAGCUUUCAGUCAGGGUGAUGUAAACACCGCUGCAGAAUUUGGGAGGCUGUUCUGUUUGGGGAAUGUGAUGGAUUAAAGCUGACAAAUGAGAUUUUUUUUUUUUUUGGCCUUUUGGGUUGUGCCAGUUUCAUGUGAGGCAAAGCUCUGGCUCCCAGACCAAUCCCAAA